CUCAGACCGUUACAAUGAGGGUGGGACUGAAGAGAGAGGUUGAGAUAGUCAUACUGGAGAGCUCUGGAGUGGGCUAACGCCGUGUGGGAAGAAGGAGAUGCAGCGUUGGACGACUACACGGAGUUCACCCGCCACUUCCGAACGUCUUUUCCACCUGAGGCAGGGGACGAGGAUUGCCCAUGAGUUCACCCUGGAAUUUCGGACCCUGGCCGCAGGAGCGGGAUGGAAUGACAGGGCCCUUAUCGACCACUACCGUAGCAGCCUGCACGAGGAUAUCCGUCAGGAGUUGGCCUGCAGGGAUACUGUGCCACCCAUAAGUUACUAUCUUUCUCUCUCUCUUUUGUUCUGCUCCCAGCUGUUCCCCAUUCUCCUAACGACCUCGUUUACUCUCUCUCACCUGUCUCCUCUUUUGCCCUCUGAUUAUGUCUCUAUUUCUCUCUCUGUUUCUGCUUCUGUCCUUGUCGGAUUCUUGUUUGCUUUGCCCUUGUCCCGUCCUGUCGUUAUCUGCCUCUUCAUUAGAUGCUGCGUGUGAGCAGGUGUCUCUGUCCUCUACGGCCCGCACCUACCCAGAGGGACCUGCAGUCUGUUGCCGCUAGCCCUGCAAUUCUCCUCUACUACUAGUAGGAGGACUCCCCUGCAAAGAUAGAGGAUUUAUGUUUUCCCUGUUUGGACAUUAAAAGACUGUUUCU